rnacentral:rRNA from 1 species
CCCUUAGAUGUUCUGGGCCGCACGCGCGCUACACUGGUCGAUGCAACGAGUUUCUUUCCUUGGCCGACAGGCCUGGGCAAUCUUUGAACAUCGAUCGUGAUCGGGAUAGAUUCUUGUAAUUUUUGAUCUUAAACGAGGAAUUCCUAGUAAACGCAAGUCAUCAGCUUGCAUUGAUUACGUCCCUGCCCUUUGUACACACCGCCCGUCGCACCUACCGAUUGAAUGGUCCGGUGAAAUCUCCGGACUGGCGUGAGUCGGAGCAAUCUGACAAACGCCGGAAAGUUGAUUAAACCUUACCAUUUAGAGGAAGGUGAANUCGUANCA